rnacentral:rRNA from 1 species
AUGAACCGGAGGAAUCCGCAAGCACAGAAAUUGUUGUACAGAGAGUUUCCAGAGCAUUAUAGAUGGAUAGCUGGAAAAAAGAAGUGGCAGAAGAGAAGAAAUAACAGAUCACAGAUUGGAAGACUUGUGUAUGCACACCCUGCUGAAGGAGAGAGGUACUACUUGCGUGUGCUGCUAAGUCAUGUUCGAGGUGCCACUUCUUUUGAUGAUUUAAAAACAGUAAAUGGCAACCUAUGCACUUCCUUCAGAGAGGCAUGUGAGCACUUAGGCCUCAUUGAGCACGACAAGACUCUUCAUGAUUGCAUGACAGAGGCAUGCACAUUUCAGAUGCCUUCUGCCCUAAGACGGUUGUUUGCAACUAUAUUGGUAUUUUGCGAGGCAACAGAAAUCCGACAAUUGUGGGAUAAACAUCUACCAUCAAUGUGUGAGGACUACAGUCGUAAUGAAUCCAAUGAGUCGGUACUUGAGCAGAUGGUCCUUUGAGAUAUUAGGGAUAUGUUGCAAUCCAUGGGAAAGGAUAUUAAGAGCUAUGGACUUCCGGAUCUGGUUGAGACCGAUGGUUCUUAUGACAGUGAAUACAGAGAGGUAACAGAGGAGAGGCAAAUCACCGCGGACACAGAACAUCUAGAUCUAUUUAGCAGUUUGAACCAUGAGCAGCUAGCUGGUUUCAAUGACAUAAUGGAUCAUGUGAUGAACAAAAAAGCCAGAUAUUCUUUGUUGAUGGUCCAGGAGGAACUGGGAAGACGUACUUGUACAAGGCAUUGCUAG